GAUGAACGCUAGCGGGAGGCCUAACACAUGCAAGCCGAGCGGUAGAGAUCUUUCGGGAUCUUGAGAGCGGCGUACGGGUGCGGAACACGUGUGCAACCUGCCUUUAUCUGGGGGAUAGCCUUUCGAAAGGAAGAUUAAUACCCCAUAAUAUGUUGGAUGGCAUCAUUCGACAUUGAAAACUCCGGUGGAUAGAGAUGGGCACGCGCAAGAUUAGAUAGUUGGUGAGGUAACGGCUCACCAAGUCUGCGAUCUUUAGGGGGCCUGAGAGGGUGAUCCCCCACACUGGUACUGAGACACGGACCAGACUCCUACGGGGGGCAGCAGUGAGGAAUAUUGGACAAUGGGUGAGAGCCUGAUCCAGCCAUCCCGCGUGAAGGACGACGGCCCUAUGGGUUGUAAACUUCUUUUGUAUAGGGAUAAACCUACUCUCGUGAGAGUAGCUGAAGGUACUAUACGAAUAAGCACCGGCUAACUCCGUGCCAGCAGCCGCGGUAAUACGGAGGGUGCAAGCGUUAUCCGGAUUUAUUGGGUUUAAAGGGUCCGUAGGCGGAUCUGUAAGUCAGUGGUGAAAUCUCACAGCUUAACUGUGAAACUGCCAUUGAUACUGCAGGUCUUGAGUGUUGUUGAAGUAGCUGGAAUAAGUAGUGUAGCGGUGAAAUGCAUAGAUAUUACUUAGAACACCAAUUGCGAAGGCAGGUUACUAAGCAACAACUGACGCUGAUGGACGAAAGCGUGGGGAGCGAACAGGAUUAGAUACCCUGGUAGUCCACGCCGUAAACGAUGCUAACUCGUUUUUGGGCUUUCGGGUUCAGAGACUAAGCGAAAGUGAUAAGUUAGCCACCUGGGGAGUACGAACGCAAGUUUGAAACUCAAAGGAAUUGACGGGGGCCCGCACAAGCGGUGGAUUAUGUGGUUUAAUUCGAUGAUACGCGAGGAACCUUACCAAGGCUUAAAUGGGAAAUGACAGGUUUAGAAAUAGACUUUUCUUCGGACAUUUUUCAAGGUGCUGCAUGGUUGUCGUCAGCCCGUGCCGUGAGGUGUUAGGUUAAGUCCUGCAACGAGCGCAACCCCUGUCACUAGUUGCCAUCAUUAAGUUGGGGACUCUAGUGAGACUGCCUACGCAAGUAGAGAGGAAGGUGGGGAUGACGUCAAAUCAUCACGGCCCUUACGCCUUGGGCCACACACGUAAUACAAUGGCCGGCACAGAGGGCAGCUACACAGCGAUGUGAUGCAAAUCUCGAAAGCCGGUCUCAGUUCGGAUUGGAGUCUGCAACUCGACUCUAUGAAGCUGGAAUCGCUAGUAAUCGCGCAUCAGCCAUGGCGCGGUGAAUACGUUCCCGGGCCU
rnacentral:rRNA from 1 species